AGUGAUAUCAUAAAUAUUUUACUCUUUGUUUCGUUUAUUUCCUUCGUUAAUGUAUGGAUUUGCUUUCUUGUUUUCAAAGUUUGAAGAAGGCUGAUAAGAAGCGGAAGAGCCAGUAUGGAGGUUCUAAUUCUCAGUCGAAGAAGAAGCAGCAGCAACCGUUAACAUCUACACCACCUGAUGCUUCUGAGAGAACCGAUCCGACACUCAACGAGCUAAGGGGACCACCAGUCAUCAACAGUGACGGUGCGGGGAGUUCCCAAGAGGGAGGAGAAGGCAUCGGAUCUGAGGGUGAUAAUGCAAGAACAAAUGGCCUUCUCGAGGGUAAGCGUAAGGAGAAGAGUGGUGUCAGAGGUGCUAAGCGGAGGAAGAGUAUUGCGAAAAAAUACACGAUACCAGAUGAAACCACAACAAGUAACAAUCAGCCAACAACAGCUACCGAUCAAAACGAGACACCAAACUUGGACAUCGUGAGGAUCAUCAAGCCAGUGGAGGUUAUUACUUCUAUAACAAACAAUGUACAAGACUCGUUGGUAACUUUCUCGGUGCAGAGGGCUGAUGGGGAGGAAGUAACGGUUGACAACAAGUUUCUCAGGGCUCAUAAUCAUCAUCUGCUGCUUGAUUUCUACGAGCAACAUAUCACAUACAACUCCGAAAGUUAAGGAAAAUGUUUGGAAACAGUGGUGCUUGUAGGUAGAAUGAGAUUAGAUCUGUAGAAUGGAGGUAGUGGAGAGCUGUUAUUCUUGGAGGUGUGAGAUUGUAUUCUUAUCUCCUCUGGUUCGUUUAUGAGUUCACUUUCAGUUAUAUCAAUGUCUCUUGGACUUUACAUUUUUCUGUUAUAGCAAAUCUUGUAUCUUGGACUUUUUUUUUUUUUCAGUUAUAGCAAAUCUUGUCUCUUGUUACUUACAGUUAUAUUUUGUCUUUGGACUUUACAUUUUUCUAACUGAGAAUUUUGUUAAACUUGCUUGUUCAAAGAUUAAGUUCAUGCUCGGACCUUUUUUUUUCUGUUAUAGCAAAUCUUGUCUCUUGCCACUUUCAGUUAUAACUUGUCUCUUGGACUUUAUAUUUUUCUAAACGAGAAUUUUGUUAAACUUGCUUGUUCAAAGAUUAAAUUCAUGCUCAGACCAUUUUUUCUUCUGUUAUAGCAAAUCUUGUCUCUUGUCACUUUCAGUUAUAUCUUGUCUUUUGGACUUUAUAUUCUUUUAACCGAGAAUUUUGUUAAACUUGUUUGUUCUCAAAAAUUAAGUUCUAGCUCGGACAUUUGUUUCUGUUAUAACAAAUCUUGUCUCUUGAACUUUACAUUUUUCUAACCGAGAAUUUUGUUAAACUUGCUUGUUCAAAGAUUAAGUUCAUGCUCGGACCUUUUUUCUCUGUUAUUCUCUUGUCACUUUCAGUUAUAUCUUGUCUCUUGGAUUUUAUAUUUUUGUAACGGAGAAUUUUGUUAAACUUGCUUGUUCAAAGAUUAAGUUAUGCCCGGAUCACGAAUUGAACUAAUAAUUAUUUGGAUUACUAUUUGAUAUGGUUUGACCGGACUGAAUGUUGUUCACAAUUUUUUUAUAUAUAUUAAUUUUUAAUAUAUAAACUUAAAGAUAAUUAUUGUAAAUGUAAUACUAAUUAGAAUAUGAAUAUAUAUUAAAAAUAUAAUUAAACUUUUUUGUUCAUCCAGUUAAUAAACUUCUAGUUUUAAUAGUUUUGUCUAGUUCAAUAAAUUUAAAAUUCAAUUUGGUUACAUGACCGGUAUAUAGUUUAAUCUGGUUCACUCAUCAGAUCAGUCCGGUUAAAAAAAAUACUGAAUAAGAUUAAGUUUGGUGUCCGAACCGUCCACAUGUAACAUGUCAGUACAAAACUGAAUAUUAUGUAGAUUGAGAAGGCAGCUUUGACGAAGGCGAUAGAAGAAACCAUAAAUUAUGUGCGUUAAAUUUGACUAGAAAGAGUCUAGAAUCAGGUCCUAUCAUAAUAUUUUUUAAUAUAUAGGAAGAAAUCUUAUCCAACUCUUUUUCUUCAUGUGUAAGAUCUCAAAUAUUUCUGAUUGGUUUAGAAGAAAAACAAUAAUAAAAAAUGAUUCGUCACACGUAAUUAACAUACAUUAUCUUGAAGACUUGUGUGGGGGAAAUAGAGAUACAACAAAUAUAUAAAAGGAACCGCGUGGCGUGGAAAGUACGGCUCGGAUCAGCAGACGUUUCCUCUGUUUCGAUAAAAAGGGCGGAACUAUUUAUGCAGCCGACACACGUCGUGAUCUUUCGAUUAUAAAUCGCAAUCUGAGAAAUUUCAAUAUCAAAUCAAAUCUCUUCCUUCGUUUCUAAGCAAAAUUUCGGAGAAUCAGAAAACCCUUAAGCUUCUUUGUGUUUGAUUACUCUUGAGGAAAACAAAUUGGAG